rnacentral:rRNA from 1 species
AAGGGAAGAUUAAUACAAGAUGGCAUCAUGAGUUCACAUGUUCACAUGAUUAAAGGUAUUCCGGUAGACGAUGGGGAUGCGUUCCAUUAGAUAGUAGGUGGGGUAACGGCCCACCUAGUCUUCGAUGGAUAGGGGUUCUGAGAGGAAGGUCCCCCACAUUGGAACUGAGACACGGUCCAAACUCCUACGGGAGGCAGCAGUGAGGAAUAUUGGUCAAUGGGCGCAGGCCUGAACCAGCCAAGUAGCGUGAAGGAUGACUGCCCUAUGGGUUGUAAACUUCUUUUAUAAAGGAAUAAAGUCGGGUAUGUAUACCCGUUUGCAUGUACUUUAUGAAUAAGGAUCGGCUAACUCCGUGCCAGCAGCCGCGGUAAUACGGAGGAUCCGAGCGUUAUCCGGAUUUAUUGGGUUUAAAGGGAGCGUAGAUGGAUGUUUAAGUCAGUUGUGAAAGUUUGCGGCUCAACCGUAAAAUUGCAGUUGAUACUGGAUAUCUUGAGUGCAGUUGAGGCAGGCGGAAUUCGUGGUGUAGCGGUGAAAUGCUUAGAUAUCACGAAGAACUCCGAUUGCGAAGGCAGCCUGCUAAGCUGCAACUGACAUUGAGGCUCGAAAGUGUGGGUAUCAAACAGGAUUAGAUACCCUGGUAGUCCACACGGUAAACGAUGAAUACUCGCUGUUUGCGAUAUACUGCAAGCGGCCAAGCGAAAGCGUUAAGUAUUCCACCUGGGG